rnacentral:rRNA from 1 species
UAUUGCCCAAUGGGGGAAACCCUGAUGCAGCGACGCCGCGUGAGUGAAGAAGUAUUUCGGUAUGUAAAGCUCUAUCAGCUGGGAAGAAAAUGACGGUACCUGAUUAAGAAUCCCCGGCUAACUACGUGCCAGCAGCCGCGGUAAUACGUAGGGGGCAAGCGUUAUCCGGAUUUACUGGGUGUAAAGGGAGCGUAGGCGGCAGCACAAGUCUGGAGUGAAAGGCCGGGGCUUAACCCCGGAACUGCUUUGGAAACUGUGCGGCUAGAGUGCAGGAGAGGUAAGUGGAAUUCCUAGUGUAGCGGUGAAAUGCGUAGAUAUUAGGAGGAACACCAGUGGCGAAGGCGGCUUACUGGACUGUAACUGACGUUGAGGCUCGAAAGCGUGGGUAGCAAACAGG